rnacentral:lncRNA from 1 species
CCACAUCUGAUCCCUUAACCCACAUGCAUAUUGAUAAGGGAUGUUAUUCAGGUCAUACCUAUAUGUAGAACAUACUCCUAGAAAAAUUCUGCCAAUAGUGUGUUUCAAAGGUUAGUACAGCUACAUAAUCCUGUCAAAUUUGAUCCUGUCAACUGCCAGGUGACCACAUCAACUCUGCUCAGGGAAGCAGUCCCAUGUGGAAUCAAGGACAAGGUCUGCAGAGACAAAGGUGACUCAAAGAGCUGAGAUCUCCCUGAAUUCCCUGAAGUUGACAUCACUCUGCCUUCUGGAAGACAGCUCUAUGCGUUUAAGUCCCAGGAAACCACUUCAAAAACCACUGAUGCAGGCAGCAAAGUGAGCCACUGUGGGAGAGUGAGAGAGCCAUGCUGUGCAGAGCUGCUUGGAGAGACUUUGGA